GAUUGUGCCUCUACUCCUGCUUGUACAGACUGCUUUUCCAGCAGCAUGGACACAAGAAGCAUAUUGUAUUCCUUGAAUGACUACAAACCACCCAUUUCUAAAGCAAAAAUGACCCAGAUUACAAAAGCGGCCAUCAAAGCUAUUAAGUUCUAUAAACAUGUGGUACAGAGUGUUGAGAAAUUCAUUCAGAAAUGUAAACCAGAAUACAAGGUACCUGGACUUUAUGUUAUUGACUCCAUUGUGAGACAAUCCCGACAUCAGUUUGGUCAAGAAAAGGAUGUGUUCGCACCCCGAUUUAGUAAUAACAUCAUUAGCACUUUUCAGAAUUUAUAUCGUUGUCCUGGGGAUGACAAGAGUAAAAUAGUGAGAGUUUUAAACUUAUGGCAGAAGAAUAAUGUAUUUAAGAGUGAGAUUAUUCAACCGCUUUUGGAUAUGGCAGCAGGGAUUCCUCCUCCAGUUGUCACACCUGUUUUGGCCAGUACUACUGCUGCUAUGAGCAACACCCCAGGAACACCUGUGACACCUGUUACUCCAGCUAAUGUGGUCCAAGGCCUUCCUGAUCCAUGGGUAUCUCAGAUAACAAAUACAGAUACACUUGCGGCGGUUGCUCAGAUCUUACAAAGUCCUCAAGGCCAACAGCUUCAACAGUUAAUACAGACCUUACAGAUACAGCAGCAGAAACCGCAGCCUUCCAUCCUCCAGGCCCUGGAUGCUGGUCUUGUGGUUCAAUUGCAGGCUCUCACAGCACAGCUUACAGCUGCAGCUGCAGCAGCCAACACGCUCACUCCCUUGGAUCAGGGAGUCCCUUUCAACAAGAAGUUGAUGGAUAGGUUUGAUUUUGGGGACGAUUCUGAGCAUAGUGAAGAACCCAAAAAGGAAAUUCCAACACCUCAACUUUCUCAUGUUUCAGAAUCUGUGAACAAUUCCAUUUUUCAUCAGAUAGCAGAACAACUACAACAACAAAACCUUGAACAUCUCAGACAGCAGCUCCUGGAACAGCAACAGCCUCAAAAGGCAACUCCUCAAGAUAGUCAAGAAGGGACAUUUGGAUCAGAGCAUUCAGCGUCACCAUCACAAGGGAGUAGUCAGCAACAUUUUCUUGAACCUGAAACAAAUUUGGAUGAUUCUAUAGAUAUACAGCAACAGGAUAUGGAUAUAGAUGAAGGACAAGAUGGAGUGGAAGAGGAAAUCUUUGAACAAGAAGCUAAGAAAGUGGCUGUUCGUUCCAGAUCAAGAACUCAUUCGCGAUCUCGUUCAAGAUCACCAAGGAAACGGAGGUCCAGGUCAAGAUCUGGUUCUCGCAAGCGUAAACACCGAAAGCGAUCAAGGUCCCGCUCAAGAGAGAGGAAGAGGAAGUCAUCACGUUCAUACUCCAGUGAAAGGAGAGCCAGAGAAAGGGAGAAGGAACGACAAAAGAAGGGAUUACCUCCAAUUAGAUCUAAAACAUUAAGUGUAUGUAGCACUACUCUCUGGGUUGGUCAGGUAGACAAGAAAGCGACACAGCAAGAUUUAACCAAUCUUUUUGAAGAGUUUGGACAAAUUGAAUCCAUUAAUAUGAUUCCUCCCAGGGGUUGUGCUUAUGUCUGUAUGGUACAUCGACAAGAUGCAUUUCGGGCUCUUCAGAAACUGAGUUCCGGAUCAUAUAAAAUCGGUUCCAAGGUUAUUAAGAUUGCUUGGGCUUUAAAUAAAGGUGUAAAAACAGAAUACAAACAAUUCUGGGAUGUGGAUCUUGGAGUUACAUAUAUACCAUGGGAAAAAGUUAAAGUGGAUGAUUUGGAUGGUUUUGCAGAAGGAGGCAUGAUUGAUCAGGAAACUGUAAAUACUGAAUGGGAAACAGUGAAGAGCUCAGAACCCAUUAAAGAGACGGUCCAGACAACUCAGAGUCCAACUCCAGUUGAAAAGGAGACAGUGGUCACAACUCAGGCAGAGGUUUUCCCUCCACCUGUUGCCAUGUUGCAGAUUCCAGUAGCACCAGCGGUGCCUACAGUUAGUUUAGUUCCACCAGCAUUUCCUGUGUCCAUGCCAGUUCCGCCUCCUGGAUUCAGCCCAAUACCUCCACCACCUUUUCUGCGAGCAAGUUUUAACCCUUCACAACCACCUCCUGGUUUCAUGCCCCCUCCAGUUCCCCCGCCUGUUGUACCACCCCCUGCAAUUCCACCAGUAGUACCAACAUCCUUAGUGCAACCACCACUGUCCAUGACCCCUGAAGCUGUGAAGGAUGUUGGAUUUGGUAGUCUUGUUUUACCAGGUGGUCCAGUUGCCAGCAGUCUUGCUACUUCUGCUCUACCAGCUGGAAAUGUUUUUAAUCCUCCACCUAAACAAGCAGAGCCUGAAGAAAAAGUACCUCAUCUUUUAGAACACCAGAUUUCUUCUGGUGAAAACAGCAGAUCAGUGAUUCCGAAUGAUAUUUCAAGUAAUGCUGCAAUUUUAGGAGCACAGCCGCCUAAUGUGACAAGCAAUUCUGGAAUUUUGGGAGUCCAAAGACCAAAUGUAUCAAGUAAUUCUGAAAUUCUUGGAGUCCGGCCAUCUAAUGUUUCUAGUAGUUCUGGGAUUAUUGGAGCUCAACCACCAAAUAUUCUAAAUAACUCUGGAAUUUUGGGAAUACAGCCACCGAAUGUGUCAAAUAGUUCUGGACUUUUGGGAGUGCUACCCCCAAAUAUGCCGAAUAAUUCUGGACUUGUAGGAGUACAGCCACCAAAUGUUACAAAUACUUCUGGACUUUUGGGAACACAGCCACCUGCUGGACCUCAAAAUUUACCCCCUUUAAAUAUCCCAAGUCAAAGGAUGCCUGCAAUGCCAAUAUUAGACAUUCGUCCAGGACUAAUACCACAGGCCCCUGGACCAAGAUUCCCUUUAAUACAACCUGGAAUUCCACCCCAACGUGGAAUCCCUCCCCCAUCGGUACUUGAUUCAGCUCUUCAUCCACCACCCCGUGGACCUUUUCCUCCAGGAGACAUUUUUAGUCAGCCAGAAAGACCUUUUCUAGCUCCUGGAAGACAAAGUGUAGAAAAUGUUAUUAACCCAGAAAAAAGGAUACCGCUUGGGAGUGAUAACAUUCAACAGGAAGGAGAUAGAGAUUACCGGUUUCCUCCCAUAGAAACCAGGGAGAGCAUUAGUAGACCUCCCCCAGUGGAUGUUAGGGAUGUGGUUGGGCGGCCUAUAGAUCCAAGAGAAGGUCCUGGAAGGCCUCCAUUAGAUGGUAGGGAUCAUUUUGGAAGACCUCCUGUAGAUAUCAGAGAGAAUCUUGUGAGGCCAGGUAUAGAUCAUCUUGGUCGAAGAGACCACUUUGGCUUUACUCCAGAGAAGCCCUGGGGGCAUAGAGGAGAUUUUGAUGAGAGAGAGCACCGGGUUCUCCCUGUCUAUGGUGGUCCAAAAGGAUUACAUGAUGAAAGAGGUAGAUUUCGGGCUGGAAGCUACCGAUUUGAUCCUAGAAGUGGUCCUUGGAACAGAGGAUUUGGACAAGAAGUUCACAGAGAUUUUGAUGACCGCAGAAGACCCUGGGAAAGGCAGAGGGAUAGGGAUGACAGAGAUUUUGAUUUCUGCAGAGAAAUGAAUGGAAAUCGUCUUGGACGAGAUAGAAUUCAAAACACUUGGGUCCCCCCUCCUCACGCUCGGGUUUUUGAUUAUUUUGAAGGGGCCACUUCUCAACGAAAAGGUGAUAAUGUGCCUCAGGUUAAUGGUGAAAAUACAGAGAGACAUGCUCAACCACCGCCUUUACCAGUACAGAAUGAUCCUGAACUUUAUGAAAAACUGACGUCUUCAAGUGACAUAAACAAGGAGAAGAGUGACACAGUUGCUGAUAUAGAAAGUGAACCAGUGGUGGUAGAAAGCACAGAAACUGAGGGGACAUAAUCAUCACUCAGUAGAUACUGAUGGAGUGCCCAUAGGGGUAAAUACAAGUUAGUCAAGUGUGGAAGGCCAAAAGUAAAUGACAUUGAUAAACGAGAUGCAAAGAUUGGAAAGUAUUGAGGCUUCGUUAAGUUGCUGUAAGCACCUUGCCUCAACUCAAGGACAUAAAGAGGUGUCUUCUGUACUUUAACACACAAUGGCAAGAUGAUGAAUGAAGUCCUGGCAGCUUCCUGUGUCCCAGGCCUUGUAGAAAUAAAUGAGACAGACGAGCUUCAAAGUUCUAAUGUGCAUCACAUCGGAUCUUGUUUAAGGAAGCGUUAAAAGGAACCCUCCGUUACCUAUUGAGAAGGCUCUGUGCUCUCAGGCAUUGUUUCUGAUUGAAUCCAGAGGUUGCAAGCAUGCCUCCCUGUAUUACCUGUUGGAGCAGGUUUAAUUUUAUAAAUUUUAAACACAAACUCUAUGAGUUUCUAGUUCAUAAUUGUUCUUUUUGAGGAUCCACUCAGAUGAACAGUAUCGCAUCUGUAAGAGAUACACACUUCCACAAGCCCAGAAUUGAUUGGGAGAUCAGUGGCAACAAACUCCAUCUGUAGCAUCCAGUACCAGUGACGGAGGAGACAGAGCUGGAGGAAACCUAUCGCGGGGAAAGUCAUUGUGUUGGAACUACAGAUGACUGGAACCAUAGCUGUAGUACACUGAGGCUCUUUUCUUGAACACCAUAUGUGCACACUGUGUAAUUCUUGACCAGUGGCUUUAAUCCAUUAUUAUUGGUUAUCUCUUUGGACGUUCAAACAUUGAAAGUUUUGAGCUUUCAUUUAAAAAAAAAAAAAAAUUAUGCAGGUUUGAGAAAAUCCAGGGUUCCAUAUCGUCUUCCAAGUAUUUCCCUCCAGCCUUCCUGUCCUGUUAGGAACAGCAGGUACCCAGGCGGUAGAGGAGCAGCCUUAUGGGAGAGAAAGGCAAUGGGGGUGAGCAGGCAUACUACAUUGUACCGUAAACAUACUUUAUAAGUACUUCGCUCCUUAGCUCCUCAUUCAGGCAGACAUUGCAAACGUCUGCUGCAAGUAUCCAGAACGGAUCUGUGUUUUUGGAACUCAUCAGUGUUCACAAUACCUGCAGGGGAAAGAAUUGCAAAAAUAUGAGCACCCUUUACACCUAAAAGAAUACUUUUUAUCAUUCUUUUAUUUGUUUUGGCUCUGUCAAAAAUUAAAGUGCUUGGAAUGCUGUAGUCUGUGGUCUCUUGAAGUUUAGUCAAUGAGAACCUAACACCUUCACAGAAUGCUGUCACUUUGGACA